UCGUGAGUCGCGCCACGACAGUACUAUCCUAUCGCAUGACUCUGCAGCGUUACGCAACUAACAGAAGGCUAGAUAGGCGACGCAAGCCGCGGGGGUUGGUUGCCGUAGAGCUGGAAGAGCGCGCAUGAUCGCCCUACAACAGUGGUACUCACCGAGCUAUGCUCACUCUUUCGCUGCCAUGCCGAUCAAAUUCUCGAAAGUUUGCUCGUGCCACGGUCAAAGGGAUUCUUCGAAUAUCGUUUCUCCUCCGUGUGUAGAUCGCACGAACGAACGAUCAUGGAAUGUGCACGCAAUAUGCGUUAACCGCAGUUGGUAACAGUUGGUUUUUCCACUUGGAAAUCGGUGUCGUUCGAGACAACGUACACGCGCGCCUUUCUCGCUGGAUCUUGGAUAUUUCCACUUGCUCGACCAAUUGCUUUCCGCAACGACGCCUUCUCCCUCAGUCGAUUCUUCCUACGAAACCAAUGCCUUUCCGAUGUGCAUACUUGAAUUUUAAAUUACGUAUAUACUUCAAAUGACGGUCGCUAGUCGAACGAAUAUUCAAAAUGUUAUACUUAAUUAUUUAUUCGGUACGUUUACUGUCUAAUUUUGAAUACGAAGACAAUGGAAAUUGCACACCGUGAAAGUCUUUGCGUUCCGCUUCCAUGAACGUCAAAUCGUAUUUUAAUAUCAACGAGUCUCUCAUUUCACAGAAAACGCUGACUGUUACUAACGCGACGGAUUAAGACGUAGAGUAGCAACGGAUAAUUUUCGCGGUGAGUACCACUGUGUUACGCUACCUUCAGAGGCGGGUGUAUACACGCGAAUUCAAUAUACAUACAUACAUAUAUUCCCAUGGAAUACGGCGCGCGUAGUCGUGUCGCAUCUAUUUGGAAUCGUAUUAAUUUAUGAUCACAAAAUCAGCAAACGUAAUUGUAAGCGUGGUCUCGUCGUUCCAAUGUAUGUACUUACGCACGAACUCGUAUCUACUUAAUGCGUAUGUAGGUAUGUGCUUGUAGUAGGUAUGUAGUAAGUAUGUACUUGCAUCAUGGCUGCAGCGUUACGUCAGGACAUCUUUGUGCGAACAAUUCGACUAUUUUUCUGUCCAGGGUCACCCGUCGUUUUCAAUAGCGAACAAUUUCUUCUGUCGAUGAUUUGUUCCUUGGUUUCGAGAUAUAUUUAUUACCCAUACGCACACCGAGACAAGUAACAAAUAUAGAAAAUUAGAAUUUUUCUUCCCAAACGGCAGGAAGAUCGAAUGGAAAAUUUUUUAUAGCAGAAACCGGUGGUGAUCUUGAUCUUAUGUUCUUCGCGCAUCCUGUUACAACGCGAUAAGAAUCUUUUUUGCUUAUCGUGCUCGAAGUAAGGUAGUGGCUUAAGCAAGUUCUAAUCGGACGAACGAUUCAAAAACAAACCAGCAACUCAGCACAGCGAAAUUUAUCUGGUAAAAUUAUACACUUGGAUUUAUUUAGCGACAAUAUACCUAUACAAGUAAGUAAUAUUUCAUCGUUAUUUUCGAUUCAUCGCACGGGAAGUUCGUCCGAACACACGUAUACUUACCUAUAUGCUACACGCAACAUUUUGAGAAUCGCUUGUCCGAUCACGACGUAAAAACAGCUCGAGCGUUCAGCGGCGUUAAAAGAACGAAAUAUCGCUAAGUCUAUCUUGCGAUUACGUAAGAAUCGCCAGAGAGUACCGCCUGUGUAUAUUUACGCGAGUGUAUAUGUGUGUGCGCAUUCACAUCCAGACAGAGAAUUAGUCCGAAAAGGUCCGGCGUGGCCGGAGCAAAAUCGUACAAAAAUUUCACCGCGUCUCGGUCGUUGAAAUAUCUUCGUUGCGAAAACAUACUCACCGUAGAUAUGCUCAUCGUCACUCCGCCGCAUUUCCUACCUUUAAAAACCAAAUGAACGACGUGCGUCGUAUUAUUGAAACAUUUAGAAUUCCAAAUAUUGAAAUUGAAAAUUAAAAAACUUAAGAGUCACGUCAUUUUGCUAACGCGUGAUACAGGUUCCUAACGUACGUGUAUCAUAUUUGUUUGCUGUAAGAAAACAAAAUAUCCUUAUCGAUAAGUAUAGAUUUUCAAGAAUAAUCAUUGUUUAACGAGUUUUCACCAAGGACGAGUACUCGAGGCAAAGAUCCCUCCCAGACAGGCCGAAUAAUAUGCGAAACCAAAAACCAGACCUCCUCGCGUGAAACAGCGAAAUGCCGACGUAUACACGGUAUUUAAGAGACGGCUAGAAUCAGGCGUGUUUCAAGAAAUAAGCAUUUUUAGCGGAAUUGCCGCGGUAAUGGGAAGGUAGGGUUAACGAAGUCGAUGCGCGUUUAAUAUCGACUAGGAAGUUGGUCGAAGGACGAAGGAAGAAAAACCGAAAGGUGGAAUAAUUACGAGGAAUAGGCAGCGAGAGAAAUUCGUUCCCAUCGAUGCUCGUUAAAAGAGAGACCGAGCUGCGUUGCUCGAAGGCCGCUGCUGCCCUCUAAAAUUAACGAUGAUCCACCGGUGCGCGGAUUCACUAGGGCGAAAGUCCGCUUCCUCUGAAAGGGUCCGCGCUUCCGUGUAGCGGCAGAUUCGCAGCUUAGAACGUUCGUUACGAACGCUCGCGGGUCGGUCUAUCCCUGCACCUGCCAUUCUCUCGGAAAACACGCGAAUGUUUUCACAGUCGAUGACGCAAUGCAUCGUUUUUACCUUGCAAACCCGUGCCUUUAUGAAAACUGUCAGGUAUAUAGGUUAGGAAACUCAGAAAUAACGACACGUCUUUCAACGCGAUCCGAUGUGUUUCAUCUUGGAGAAGAUAGAAAUCGUUGUUACGUUUUUUGCUACGAGAUUCUAUCGAGACCGAAGACACUGGUCUUAGCAACAGAACGCGGAGAACAAUAAAUGUUUCCAGCAAUUUCUGCGAGGAAGAUCUCGGAAGUACGAGUGAGCCGUAAUUACACCGGAUAGCAAUAACGAUGAGAGGUUUACUACGUUACGAUUUCAAGUCCCGUGUCAAGCGGGUCUAAAAGUGUUUUCGACGCAACAACGUAAUCGCCCAAUUUCUCGCAGGUGUUUUGUCAGAUAUCAAUGCUCGAAGCGAAUCUCAAACCUAACCUCAACCUAACCCUAAUCUCCACAGACGGUAUCGUUUCAGGCGUUCUGACGAAGUUUCCUUUAAGCUGUGUAGAGAUACGCACACGCAGGAGAAACGAAAGAAGAAACAGAAGAAGAAGAAAGAGUUUCGAUGACAGGCACCAACUGCCGUGGCAUCGUUGAACGAAAGAAUAUUCUAACUAGAUCAGUGUACCAUUUAUGAUUGGCGAGGCACGGUGAUAAGGGUGCGAUAAAACAGCGGGCGGUCGAUCGGUGAAAAGAAAGAAGCGAGCAGUAGGCCAGCAGACUCGCGACGAUUAGGCUUGCGCGGUAUGACGGCCGAGUCGUUCGACCUAGUUCGUAAAAUAACGCGACGGAGGCGUACUUACCGAAAUGUAGGACAACGGUAUUCACGCGCAGGAAGCGGCGCAAUUAUGGAUACGCGAGAGAACGCGAGCGGUCGCGCACGCGUGAUUCUAACCUCCACAAUUGCGCCUCCUGAUCCGACGCGACGGCAGUCUCGUUAUGGAAAAAUACGGCUGCAACGCUGCACUAGCCACAACGGACACCCAACAGGUCUAUCCGCAUACCUUGAAAUUUUCAUGGCUCGAUCGGCCAGAUGAAUGUGUCUGUUCGUCUUCGAAACGAUCUUCGGGACGCUUGGCGAUCUCUUCCUCUUUUAUUACUCGCGUUUCCGUGCAUCGAGAUGCUCGUUCGUUUCGUAUUUUGUAGGUACGUUACGUGCAUUAUGUGAGAGUCAAAGGUAAAGAAAUACGCGUGGAAGGAAGAAUUUGGCCUCGAAAAUACAGAGCACGGCAGAUGGGAACAUUGAGAGGAGGAGAAGGAGGAAAAAGGUAGCGGAGAAAACGUCGCGGCUAGCGAGGAGCGAGGAACGCGACCCUAAUAUUUAGCUCUGCGGAGAUGAACGUUAAAGUUGAUCCAGUAAAUUUACGCGUCCGUUUCAUAGAUGCACUGGCCCAGUUUGCAGCGGCUAUGAAAGCAAGGGAUAUUGCGAAGGGGGUUGGAGAGAGGGCGUGAUAUCUGUGUCACGGCACAAGCGCCGUACUCCGGCCGAGUACGAUUCAUAGCGAUGUUGUUGGCCCGCUUAGGAACCGCGCGACCAUCGGCGGAAUGCUCCACCAUCGACGAUAUGCGUCGUUCGUCUCGAUAUUGCUGUCCCUGCCUCGAUUCUUCCGGAUUGAGCGUUUCCUUCGCAAGAUUAAUCGAGUCGAAGAACGAAAGGAGGAAGUUCUCGGCCUUGACAGUACACGAUGAAUCGCCCUAGGUUUGCCUCAUCGUCCACGCCGCUGAUCAAUAAAUAACUAGACAUCGUUACAUUUCAUCGUUGGUAGACCUGCUAAUCAACCGGAUUGCCUACCGACGCGUAGUAGAUGAACAAAUUCAAGCUUUCCCUUCGAAACAGAUCUGUCAAGUCGACUCGAAUUUUCAAAGUUAAAUCGAUCGCCUGGAAUAUCACAGAUGAUACAGCGAAACGAUUCGCUUCGAUUUUUCGGAAGAGCGUCUAAACUCGGUGAGAAAGAAUUCGGUCGAUGGAUCUCUGGAAAUCUGUUUCUCUGUGUCGAUUCAUCUGUUCGACCCUGCCACGAUAACUCGCUCUCUAGUGGAGCGCUUACGUAAGAAAGCCGUACCUACCUUCCAACCCACCUCCUGGCUAUUCAAGGGAUCAAGGCAAACCGGUAGGCCGGCAGCUUAGCAGGCAAGCAGCCAGGCAGGCCAGGAGAAUCGAGCAACCAGAGAGCAGCUAGAGAAGAGGCUGGCUGGCAAGCAGGCAAACUAAGAUGCAGAGUGGAGAACUUGGUACACACAGACACACUCACGUUUGUCGCUGUGGUGGAGUUUGCAGAGCGUAUCAAAAUGUACAGAGGCGGCAAGUUUACACGUACGAGAACGAGAACUCCGGCGGUAGAACGUCGGCCAGUAAUUAGGCCAGUGAAACAGGUCGAUCGAUUUUGUCCCGAAAAAGCUCACGCUCCAAAAACCUAUUUAGUUCUAGACAAGAGGAGGGGGAAGAGGGGCUCGCGAUACGUCUCGGUGACUCAGCCCGCUUCUCUGCGCACACGUAUUUCUUUCGAUAGCCAGUCGUGUUCCUUUGAAUUCCGUAAUUGUUUGUUACGCGUAACACACGUAUCCGUUUGGCCGUUGAGUUCCUUCAACGGCUGCCAUAUCCCAUAUUUGUAACAGGAUCUCGUGAAAAAAAAGGCGAGAGAUCGAUACCGCUGAUAAACGUCUUCUUCCAUUCUAAUAAAUAUAACGAACAUCGGACAUCACAGGCUACGUAUUCCAAACAAAAGUAACAUCGAAGAAAGAUAAGAAAUCGCGAACGCUUCGAAUUGAAAACUUGGAAACGAAGUCUAGACGGAAAGGAGAAUUUCGUAGAUUUAACGAAGAUGGAUAGAAGGUGGUACUUUCCAUCGUUUCCCGAGAAUAACGUGCCACAUAACGGAAAACGAGGAAGGCCGAUUAAGAAAGACUACACCAAGACGCUAACGAACGGCGUGAUUGCGCAAUUUCCGGGAAGAAACAAUCGCAGCGAGGGAGCUACGAUUUUUCUUCAAGGAGCAGAAUGGCAUUCGUCCUUGAAGCGCCCUUGAUACUGGCUGUGGAAGCUAAAUCGGCCGAUGGAAAGCCGUCGGGUUUGGCGAGUGUAGGGCGUGGUCUAGCGAGGCACCCGGUGACCUCCUAGCCAGCUAGGCGGCCAUCUUUGAGCAUCGAGUCGUCCGGGCGUGCUGCGAGGGUGAAAGUUGGGGUGGGUUUUCGGUGAGGAUAGAAGCACGAACAGGCUGCUUCGUAAAAUCCUCUCUCCACUGCGUGGCCUCGCUCCGUCAAAGGAGACGCCCUCUCCCACGCCUCGCAAACACUUCCUUCUCUUUGCUCUCUUCUCCCUCGUUCUUUCUCUCCCCACCGGAAGUCCUCGCUUUCGUUUUCCUUUUCCUCCGUUGCUUCGUUUCGCGCCGCUUCGAUCACUCAUCUCGUCUCCUCAAAUGCUUUUGCCUCUGCGUAGAUACCAUUUUUAUUGUACGACUAUUGUUUUGAGGAAUGUUUCAUCGGUUCAAACAAUUAGAAGAUUUUUCAACCUUCCGAGGAAACAUCUUUGCCAAUACACCAUCCGGUUUAUCGUACUUUUCACUUUAUCAAAAUGGAGAUCUCUGUUUCAGCUGUUUUCAACAUAUUUUCUCGAGUUUACGAAGAUACGAAGUUGAGGAUAAAUCGAAUCGAGAUUUAUAUGUUUCUAUACGAUUGGAUCCCGUUCACGCGAGAAGACUUUCGUACUCGCAGAGACGGCAUCGAAAAAUAAUUUACCUGUCUACGUAGAAUUGUCGUUUCUAUAGGUGUCGCGUCGUACACAGUCGCAGCUUGACGAUAAAGCCAGGAUCUAGUUCCAGGAAAACGCAACGGAACAGCAGGAAAGGACUUUAUUUCCACUGAGUUCGACAGACAAGCUAUAUAUCGCAAUAUAUCGACGAUAUUUAAAAUUUAGCUAACCGAUGAAAAAUGUAUGAACUUCGGUACGGACAACGUAAAGUUACACGGUCGAUACACGGUCACGAGGAUAAAUGUAAUCGUCCGAAUAAAACGUUACGGAGCUUAGCAACCUUUGACGUAGCGAUACGUGUUUCGUUUGACGUUCGUAAAUAUCGUAACGUUAAAAGGUAAGACAUUUUUCCUUCGCUUCUCUCUUUUUCUUCCUCAUUUCUGUUCGCGGCAUAGGUAGAAAAAGUUUCACGGCUACGAUGACGCCCAAUGAAAGGAAAACGCAGACAUUUUUCGAGCGUCUUAAAACAGGAUACGAAUCCCGAUGGCGUGUUAACGGUUUGAUAUAAUUGUGGUUAUACAACCCGUUAUCGAAUUUCCGACGAUAACCAUACUCUUCUUAUUUUUCUGUUUCUCUUUCUCCUCGGGCUAUCCUUUCUUCUUUUUUUUUUUUCUUGCCACUGCCGUUCUAUGCAUUGUCGGUAUUCUACUGACGCACUUCCGGAAAAGUUCCUGCAACGUAAAUUCCGAUGAACCGUACUGCGAAAGCUCGAUGCACGGCGAACCUCGGCGCACGUAGAAGCAUGGAAAUGUAUACUGACAUUCCUCGAUGAGUAAAAUACGAGGAAACCGAUUUCUCCGAUAGAAACGUUAUCGAAAUGCAAAAUCCAACGAUAGGCGGACGAUAGCAGAAAGAACUCUAGAAAAAUCGAGUGUAACGCGUCACGUUUACCUUAUAAUUCUUAAUGCGCUCGAUCAUUGUUCCAGUGUCGUAGAAACUUAGCCUGCUUUCCUCGAUGGUUGCUUACUUGUAGAAGAAGCAUCUCCCAGUUUUGAACGACUAUAUCUCGUUACGACACUUUUAGAAAGCACACUUUUGUGAACGAGGCUGGUUAGGUCGGUCUUUCUUGCGUAACGUCAAUUUUACGGAUGCGUGCACGAUCAUUAAAAUUCAAGUUCGCUCCGGGUAACGCUCGUUUCAGGUAAUCAAAAUAGAAAUAUCGCGUGGGUUUAAUCGCCUCGGAUAAUCCCACAGCGACAGCUUAUACAAACUUCGAAGUAGCGAUGGUUCGAAUUUAACUCUCGGCUUAGCCGCUUUAAAAUUAUGCGCGUGAUUCGAGUCAAAAGAAACUUGGACGUGUAACUUUCUAUUUCUGGGCAUGUCUUUAGUUUUCGUAACGAGACAACGUCCAAAUCGUUAAAAAUCGCAGUGACGAAGCGUGGAAACGACGAUUUGGUAACGGAAGAUGCGGUAGUCGAUUUUCGUGCAACUUUAUGAAGCGGUAGUUUGUGUAGCGUAUUAUAAAGGAUCCGAAGCUUUCUGUUCUUUUUCGCUCGUUCAAGGCCUGGUUGCCUGGUCUACCCCACCGCUGAAUUCUCAUACUUAUAUCACAUCACGGUUUCGUUCUCCCCCCCCCCCCUCUGUAAGUUUUCUACGUAGAAAGACCUCGGUCGUUCUCUCUUCGCUGUUCUUCCAUUCUCCGUUCCUCCCACUUGCUCUUUAGCCGCCCAGGACUUCUGUGUGUCUAGCGUUGGUCGUUCGAUUCUGCCUCUUAAUUUCUUCAACAACUUGCAUCUGAUAUCAUUCGUAAGAUCGAUCGAGAAUCGUACAAAUGUUUCCCUUUCUGCUUAUAUACGAACGAAUAAACGUAAUUUACCGUACGUAUUACAAUGAACGAGAAGCGUUAUAUAAUUUCUUUCCACGUGGUUACAGCUCGAUAGAUUUAUCACUUUCUACCAAGGUUGCGCACUACGUUUAUUCAAAUUUACUACACGUCGCUGUUUAAACUAAUCGAGAACUUGUACCGUUCCGCGUGGCGGAAAAAAUUCGAAGCGUCUCGAGGCCAUCGCUAGCCAUGUCUUCCUUUUCAUUCUCGACCCCCCUCCUGUCCGCCACGCAACACACUCUUCGUCUUUACCCGCUCUUCGUGAUGAUCCACGAUCUUUACGGAUGCCCCUUUCCCCGCCGUUCAACCGUUUCGCAAUGAUGUCAUCCACAACAUUGGCGCAGGCAACGAGAAUUUUCAAACGACGGAAAGUAGAAAAUGAAGUCUGACGCCUCGACGAUGUCGCUAUGGAACGAGUGCUUUUUAUGUAUAUUCCACAUAUGUAUAUAGAUAAACAGAUGUGCGACUAUCGUAAACGUUUCGCCUAAAAAUUGUGGCAGUUAAAACCAGUUGGCGUACAUAAUGAGUAGCGUGGAAUUUUCAUCGCUGGUGUUAUAGAACGUGCGAAUGAUGCAGCGAGGACGGAACUCUUAUUUAGUGGAUUAAGUCGAAAUCCGAAGAAGACGAGCCAAGUCACCAGCCAGCAUUGUUUCGGAUUAUGUAUUUGAUGCGCGUAAAGAGGUUUAAUCCUUUACCGAAGCGGUUAACGAGAUUACCAAGGGGAGGGUAUAAACGUUCUGGAAAUCUUUAUAACCUUUUACCAUGUUGAUACGUGAAUUACCUAAAAAAAUGUUAGCCGCAGAUUGAACUAGAGUGGUGUGGUCUUUUAAAAGAAGCAAAUAAAGUUUUCUGAUUAUAUAUAUA